AGAUUGAACCUAAUGCUAUCCCUCACUGGCUGGUACUGCAGUGCUGUAGGAAAAACAUCUGCUCUGUAUCCACAGGAAGCAGGGCCUUGCCAGGAUGCCUUUGCAGCUGUAUCAACUGACCAUAUCUUUUCCUAGCUCAGCUUAAUACCCCCAGAGUGACCAUAUGCUUCUACAUGUUCUGAUUGUGAGGUUAUUAGAAGAGGUGCAGAGGUGGUUUCUAGCAAGGAUACAUGACCAAGUGGC
rnacentral:lncRNA from 1 species